rnacentral:lncRNA from 1 species
GCCUUUUAGUGCUAACCUCAGAUGUUUUUGUUACAAUUCCCAGCACAUAAUCUAUUGCUAAAUUGCAUGGUUCAUCAUAUUUGGAAUAUUGCCCAUCUAGUGUUGCUUGGAUGGAGUGGAAAGAGCAGGAAGGAUGUAGCGUUUCACCAUUACAGUGGUGAAAAGCAGUGACGAUUAUCUCUCGAAGUGGUACAGCUGGAGAGAUACUUGGGGACAUGCUAUUCUGAUUUCAAUGAAUAAGCAAUCUUCUUGUUGAAUGAUUGUGAUAUUCCCCUAAAGCCUGUUGAUUAUUAGGUCUCACACUGUAGGGGUUUGCUUUGAUGAUGCUCAUCAGUCAUGACACGUAUUUUGUCUCCAUCUCGUUGGAGAUCCGUGCUAAGGCUUGCUCGGAUGCAGUGAAGAUUUACCAAACUGUUGCCUUGACAAGCAUGGGACAAUAAGAGCGACUGAAAAUCCAUGCAGUGAAUGUUGCGGGCAUGAGUCGUUGGCAUGUUCAAGACCACUUUGGUUCCCAGGAAUGGGAGGUGCCAAUGUAUAAACUCUUCAUUCCUGUCAAUUUCCAUAUUGGUGCAUCAUAGAAUGUUGGUUUAAUGGAUACAUGAUUCCCACCAAAAAAGGGGUGAAACCAUACCCAUUAUCUACUUUGAUUAUGUGCCAAAAGAAUAGCAAAAAAGAUUUUUUACAUGCACAUUUCCAUAUUGGCAGAUCAUAGAGUGCUGAUUUACAUAUAUACACACACACAUAUAUAUAUAUAUAUAUAUAUAUAUAUAUAUAUAUAU